AGUCCUGUGAGUUCUCCCAGCAAAUCAUCAAAGCUAACGGUGGUCUUGAACUUUUGAAAGAAGCUCAACUCCCUCCCUCUCAAAAAACAAGUACCUAGUAUAUACUAUAUAUUUUUAAAUAUAUUUAUGUAUGUGUGUAUAUCUAUCUACCAUACUAUAUGGUUUUAUAUGGGUAUGUUCAUUUUCCUAAUUGUGGAGCUCGUUUAAUGUAUGUAUGUUUAAUGUAUGUUUUAACAUAUGUUAAAACAUCAAGUUGUACAGCCUAAAGAUGUGUGGUUUAUUGUAGGUCAUUUGUACCUGAAUGAAGCUGUUCUUAAAAAAAAAAAGUACAGAGCACUUUUUAUGUAAUGGGUAAUAUUUUCAGCACUUUAUGGGAAUGAUACUGUUCUGUCUUUCUAAAACCUUGUGAGGUAAGCACUGUUAUUAUUCUCAGGAGGCUGAGUUUUAGAUAAGCAAAAUUACUAAGCAAAGCACACAAUAGCCAAAGAAAGAACUUGUACUUUAACCCAAGCCUGGCAGAAUUCCAAAGCACAUUCUCCAUCAACUCUUUCAUAUUCCAUGUAUGAAUUACUGAGAAAUGAAUUUUGGUAAUUAUUUUGAAAUUUCUCGUCUACGAAUGAUCUUCCACUGGCACUCCAGUUUGGGGAUUAUAGGAGGUCAUUAAUUGGACUUUGUGUCCUCUGACUCUUUGGCCUGUUAGCCGUUAUUGCUCUGCUGUGAUGGCCUUAGGGCUUUAGGACAUCAGAGGCCAAGGGCUCCCGUUUCAGAGUUCCCUGACACUGACUCCUGCGCCUUUACUCAAGGUUCCUGCUUCGCGUCCCUGUCCCUUCUAACCUUGAUUCUGUGCUUCAAGCCCCCAUUCUCUUUCAGAUUUCCUACCGAGUUACUGACUUAUUUUGUCUCUUUUCCCCACCUCUUUAUCUUUGGCUCUCUCCAACUUAUAUUUUGACUAUUGAUUCCAUGGGAUUCUUGGCAAUGACUGCACCCACUGCUCCGGGCAAGAGACCGUCUUCCCAGCCCACCGUGACUCCCCUAGUUCCAGCUGGACUCCAUCUCCAGAACAGAAAAAAAGCAGACAUGGAAGUCAGUGAAUCAGGCAGUGCCCUCCACCUUGUGCCACCCCAGAAGGACAUCGGUCCACAAUAUUCCCAAGAAAGAGAUUCCACUCCUAACUCUUCAUGGCUGACAAAAUAAUAAGAGAAGAAGGGCUUAUCUGGUAUCAUUCCAUCCUCCUAACUAGAAAAACUCCUUCAGGAAAUGUCUUGAGGCUAACUGGGAGACGUACAUCAAAGAGAAUUUGGCUAAGCUGAAAUGUCAUCUUUCACGGGGAGCUCACCAGGGCGAUUUAUCAAAAUUGACCCUAUCAGAGAAGGACCAACCAUCCUUAGUAGACCCGAGGUUGCAAAAUGCCACCACAUUUGGCCAUAGAAUUUAUCAUGUCAGGAGAUC
rnacentral:lncRNA from 1 species